ACUACGGGAGGCAUCAGUGGGGAAUAUUGCACAAUGGGGGAAACCCUGAUGCAGCGACGCCGCGUGAAGGAAGAAGUAUUUCGGUAUGUAAACUUCUAUCAGCAGGGAAGAAAAUGACGGUACCUGAAGAAGAAGCACCGGCUAACUACGUGCCAGCAGCCGCGGUAAUACGUAGGGGGCAAGCGUUAUCCGGAUUUACUGGGUGGAAAGGGGGCGCAGACGGCGGUGCAAGCCAGGGGUGAAAGCCCGGGGCCCAACCCCGGGACUGCGCGUGGAACUGCGUGGCUGGAGUGCAGGAGGGGCAGGCGGAAUUCCUGGUGUAGCGGUGAAAUGCGUAGAUAUCAGGAGGAACACCGGUGGCGAAGGCGGCCUGCUGGACUGCAACUGACGUUGAGGCCCGAAAGCGUGGGGAGCAAACAGGAUUAGAUACCCUUGUAGUC
rnacentral:rRNA from 1 species